ACCUUUUUGUUCCUAUUUUUAAAACACAUUUGAGCAUUAUACUAGAAAAUACUUCUUGUUGUUAAUUGGUUGAUUAUCCAUUUAGAUUUCAUUUUAUGGUCUAGUUGUUUUAUUCUGUUCCAGAAUUAUCUUUUUUCUAAAGCUAAUUAGGUUCCAAAUAUGACUAAAAUGGUUGGCGUAUUGAUUUUGGAUCAGCUUGGUUAAGCUUCUUUGGUAUUCCAGAAUCCUGCACUCCCUGUCCCAUAAAGAGCGUCUUGUUUGACUUCUUACACAGUUAAGAAAAAAAUAUUCAAUCCUGUGACUGCUUUUAAUGCUUUUUCAACUUUCCCUUGGGAGUCGCACCAAAAGGAAGGUUGCAUCAUUCAACCAAAAGCAUAUGGUUGGAUUAAGGACUUUCUUGUGGAAAUAACUUCAAAAUCUUAAACCAAUGGGCAAGUAGAGAAAAAUAUAAAAGAACAAGUACAUACAUCAAUCACAUGAGUACACCAGAAAUUUACGUGAUUCAGCAACUUAGGCCGAUUCCAUGGACAAGAUGACCAAGGAAAUUCACUAUGAGAAAGUAGAAAUUACAAGGUGUCAUGCAAAAUUACUCUCUUCUAAGAUCCCAAAGUAACCUAAAACUCACAUUUUCUUGUCUUUCUAGUCACCAAAGUAUAGAGAAUGGAGACAUCUACGAAUAAGCCUUAAUCCUAAAACAUGAGAACUUUAGGCUUUUACAUGUGGACUAUCUUCAAACUUCAUAGCCAUAGCAAAAGUCAAUUGAUAACUAGGUAAGCUCUAAUACCAAUUUGUUACGGAAACAACCCUAGAAUCUCAAACUAAUUGGCAAGUAGAGAAAUAUAAAAGAUCAAGCACAAUCAAUCACACAAGAGCAAACAAGAAAUUUAUGUAGUGUGGCAACUUAGGCCUAUUCUAAGGGCAAUACGAUCAUGAAAAUUCACUAUUAGAAAAGGGGAUGACAAGGUGUCAUAAAAAUUGCACUCUCUUCAUAGAUCCGAAGUAACCCAAAAUUCACAUUCUCUCAUCUUUUUAGCAACCAAAGUGUAGAGAAUGGAAGCACUUACAAAUAAACCCUAACCCAAAAAUAUAAUGAUUUUAGGUGUUAUAUAUGGACUAAGUACAUGAAUGUUUAUUUUCUUACUUUGGCCUAUAAUUUAAACAAACUCAAUAAAGUUUAUCUCUUAAAUAAGAAAACACUGCUAUUUCUAUUUAAAUCUUCUUAAAUUAAGGACUAAUAAGAGACUAAACUUAAAAUAAAAACACCUAGAGAAUUACCAGAUAAAUUGGUAAUUACAGAAAUACCUUUGUGCACAAAAGUCAUGAUAAAAUGUAGUAAUUCUGCUUCUUUUAUCUUCUGCAUCAACUACAGUGUUGUUGUUGCUUCCCCCCCCAUAUAUAUAUAUAUAUAAACUGAUUUUGGUUGUCUGUUUGUAAAGCCAUCAAAAAACCAUGCUGAAAAUAAUGAUAAAAACCAAAUUUCCUCUUCUCAGUGGAAGGUUUCCAUUCUAAUUAUUCAUAGAACUGCUAAUGCACUUGGAAGCUGCUCGCUUCUAUUGAAUUUUUCUUAGCUGGGAAACAGAAAAACAAGAUAGUUUUUAAGGCAUGGACUCCUGAAAGCACACAAGACUUAAAAGUUCUUUUGGUAGUCAUCAAUCCAACUCUCAAUAAUCUUCAUAAGUUGCACUUCUACAUACAAAUUUUUGUGCGUCCAACUUUUUUAUUUACUGUUGUUACCAUUUGUGCUUCACUUUUCUGAAGAAUCUCAUGAUGCCUACAGAGGCAUUUUUAGCAUUUUUACUUAUUUAUAAUUUUCCUGAAAUUUACCUUUCUCUUCUCUCGAUACAGGUCAAUAUUUUAGCAAUUUAGUUCAGUACAUGCGUAGAACAGAGAUUCUAACUUAAUUUCUACCAAAAAGAGAACAACAUUAAAAAAUUGAAAAAUUUUAGUGUAAAGGGCAAGACAAUGUUAAUAGCUGUUCUUGUCACCCACCCUCCCACCCCCCAAAUCGUAUUCUGAUUGAUAAAAUAAAUAAAACAAAAUAUUGAAAGCAUCACUUGUUUUCUUAUUUCAAAAGCGCAUUUCCUUUGUAGUAUGUACAACCCAUGUACACACACACGUCAUAUAUAGAUCUAUGGAAGUAAUUUAUCAAGUAUAUUUUCCUGUUCUCUCCUUGUUUUAAACACAAUUAUAACUUAGUUGCUCAUGUUUUGAAAACUAAUAACUUAGUCCCUUGAUUAAUUUUAACUGCUGUCUUAUUAAAGAACUCUUGUCGCCCCCCCCCCCCCCCCAAAAAAAAAAAAAAAAAAAAAC